CUUGCAAGUUAGCGGCCAUAGCAGAAGCAUACAUGUUGCAGGCCUGUCAGAUUCUAACCAAUCUGUGAAUUCUGCU
rnacentral:ribozyme from 1 species